AGUAAAACAAUGAACAUUUUAUUUUAUGGAGAGAGAAUGACAUUAAGUCGAGUUGACAAGUAAAAGAAUAAAACAGAGUUGUGUAUAAAAACUAUAAAGAAGGUUUGAUUCAACAGUAACCCUCUAGUAAAGUAAAUCAUAGAUUAAGCCACUGCUUUUUUCUUAGGGAUUCCCCAGAAUCCCAAUAAGUAUAAUCCGCCAAAUUUUUAUUUACCUAUUUUCGUUGAUGUCACCAGAACUUACUUGUAUUGUAAUAUACAGGUACUUCAUGUACCAUGAAAGAUUAUCAUGGUAAUUUCAUUUACGAAAACCUUGUAAUUGUCAUUUCACUUUUGCUAGCAGUUCCUUCUUCAAAGACUGAGGUGGAAAGAUUAUUCAGUGUUCUCAAAUGUAAAAACUGACAAAAGAAACAGGCUUUCUAAUGAAACCCUGAACGGCUUGCUUCAUAGAAAGUUCCCAACUUUGCCAGCAAACAAUUGCUCAAUUUUAGAACCGAACAGUGUUAGGUUGCGUGCAGCAAAAGAAUAUAAAAGCAAUGCGUCGACUUCCUUGAAAAUUCUAAUCCUAUAGAUCUAUGAUCUUCUGGGGGCGUUUAUAUUAUAUAUACCUACAUUAAAUAAUAUGCUGUGGUUUAUUUUCUGUAUUUUAUUUAUGCUUUCUAUAAAAGGAUUUAUGAAAGUUGUCUAGGAAAUUUUAGGGAUAAAUUCAAAAGAAACUAGGGUAAAAUGUGUUAAAAAAACGUAAGUGGAAACACUGCUUUGAAGUUUUCAAAAUUCCAGGGCCGUAAAACAAUCUAAAAAAAAAAAAAAGUUUUCAAAAUGUCGUAACGAUUUAAUUUUUUAAAUCGUUUUUUUUUGGUCUUGGUGUGAGUUAUUUUACGUUGUAGUAUUAAUUUAGAGCAACUUUUAGCUUUAUGAGAAUAUUAGACGAUUAGACAUUGAGAAACUCUGUUUUGAAUUCUCUUUAGACAUAACUUGGCUCCAAUACUUUUUUCUUCGUUAGCGUUUCGUAAGCCUGUGUAACUAUUUUCAUUUCUUACAGAAAGUUUAUUAUUAAAAAUCAGCAUGCCUCGAAGAUCGAAAAUGAAAUGCUAUUUCGGAUGCCUUGAUAACGGUGAGUUUACACUAUUUUCCCGGUAUAUUAUUUGCUAACAGAAUUAUUAUUCAUAAUAUAAUUAAAUGAAUUAGCACCAACUAAUGGUCCUUCCUAUUUCUGCUGCCUAGCUAUCAUAUAUGUUAAGUUUUGAUCAAAACAGUCGGUAUUAAGUCUCGUACUAUCACACACACACCUCAGAUAAUAAAAUUGUCUCGAGUGGGUGGAAGUAUUUAUGUUUUGCAACUCAGCGUAUUAUAUGCUUAUUGUCAAGUGGGCCCGAACUAGUUUUUUGGAAUGAUCAAUCAGUCAUGCUUUCCUGUUUAAAUAAAAUACAGCACAAUUGAUCUCACAUCCAAAGUUAGAUGAUGGCAUUCACGUUUUGUUUCCUGGUGUUUGAUAACUAAGUUACACCAAGUGGCCUGUGACCACGUUCAUCCUUCUACCCAAUAUAAAAUAAUGUUUUUAUUUUUGUAGACAAAGGUUUGAUAAUGACAAAAUUUUAUGGAAAAAUUAUAAGGAGCACUAAAAUGUCUGAAACAUGAAAAGAUUGAUGCACUAUAUUUGAACCAGAACGUGUUAUGUAAUAUAUUAAUUUAAGAGAAACUGAUUCAGCAAGGAACGUGAACUCUCAAGGGAUCUUAAUUUUUUUUAAAUAUGUUUAUAAUUGAUAAAUUAAUAAUUGAAAUAGUUCAUAAGAACUAAAUUGAUGCCAAUUUUGUUUUAAAAUAGGUUGUUUAGUUCUUAUAGUUAUAGUAUUACGUUUGAAUAGUUGUAAUUAGUAAGUUAGUAAUAUAUGAAAAUACUGAUAUAAAUUUUUGUAAAUAACCUUUUGUAAAUUCUACGAGAAGAUGAUUUUAAUUAAUGAUCAAAAGUCAACGGUCUUUAAAAGCAUUAUUUGCAAUUAUUUAGAUUAACUGUGGAAUAUAUUUGCUAAGUUGUGUUUUCUGUAUGAGCAGAUAUAAAUGAAAAUGCCCAAACAUGAUUAUGUUUCUUACAUUUUCAUUAUGUGAAAUCAAUAUGCUUGUGACUGAGUAUAUUAAUAAUUUAUUAAAACUUAAGUGAUAGACAGCAACCCCUAUGGCACUGCUGAAGUUUAUAAGCACUGGUGACCACUUAUCAUGGGCCGGGUUGCGUGCUCGUCUGCUGUUGAGUGCAAUAAAAAUUUUCGAAACCCUUUCUAUUAUUUAGAUGUAAUAUUAGUGUACAUUUAAUUUGGAUUAAAAGAUAAAUUUACAUUUUAUGUUUGCAUGUGUAUGUUUAUAAUUCAUUUGCAUGUAACGAACACCAGUUUCUUUUGUAACAAAAUGUAAACUAAUGGUUUGUAAUGAAUGUAAUUAACUUUAAGAUGAUUUUCUUUCAAUCUGCUGUUUGUUUCAUCUAGUAUUACCAAAGCUAAA